UGGAGGAGGUCAAGGAGGUGGACAUGCGAUACACCCAAACAUUAAGAAGGAGUAGUAGGUCAUAUAACUAAAACACCGAGGGAGAUGACGCUUUUCUGGUGUCGGCAAUGGUGGUGCCGGUGGUGACGGCCCGAGUGAGUGAAGCCAUUGUGAUCUUUCAUAGCUUUUCGGUACCUUUCGACACAAAUUUGGUUUAUGUUUGUUUGGUUGGUUGAACUUUACUUAAUGCUCAUUAUGGUGUGGCGUAUACUUUUUGCGGUGUCUGUUGUGGUGUAUUUGAAUUGUUUAUGUUUGUUUUGAUACAUGAUAAU
rnacentral:lncRNA from 1 species